CAGAGAAAUAGGAUAAAAGUAAGGGGUGCAACUGAAAUGCAGGUACAAGCAUUUUGGCUCCAAACAAUAUACCUUGGAAAAUAUUUAUUGUGGCUAACAAGGAUGACACCAAGCAACUCAGGAGGGACAUUUCAUUUGAAUUAAAGAUUCACAUCAACAGUGGACAGAAACCAGAGUUUGAACAUCAAAUGCACAAUCACUUGCCAAAUCAAGAGGAACACAAAGAUCAUAUUAUCGAAGAGAACAUGGAUCCAAGAUAUCCAUUGUCCAAGAGCAGAGAACCGGCCAGAGAAGUCAGAAGAGUUUUGUGCACUUCUCUUGAGACUGCAAUUGGGCAAGUCAGCAGAUUCUCUUUGCUAACAAAUGACAAUUCCCAAAAGAUCCAUGUGAUCAUGCCCAUGAUUGCAAACAAAGAAAACUCCAUUUGGCGCUCAUCUUUGAAUGUACUUUUCAUCAGUUGAUAAAGCGUACAUCAAAUUAUUUCUUUUUUCAACUGUUUUGCUUAAUAUAACAUUUCUAAAGAUGGGUUCUAUUGUGGUUCAGUGGAAAAAUGAGAACAGCAUGAGUGGUGUAAAUGAAAAGAAAGUCAUUGGAGUUAGAAGAAGGGACAACAGUUGACAAAUCUACUGGUACAAAUAAACAAUGGUCGAUUGGCCAUUCUACUGGUACAAAUAAACAAUGGUCAAUUGGCCAUUUAUAAAGCAA